rnacentral:lncRNA from 1 species
GCACCCAACGAUGGCCACGGCUUCAAGUUCUCUGAUAUGGCCACUUUAGGAUUCGAUUUCAGCAGCAAAGGCGACGAGAGCGAUCAGGCUACUGCUGCGAAGGGCUCUCUCGUGUCUCAUCCGGAGCACGAUGAUGGAGAAGAAGAAGAUGACGACGACCAGGGUGGGGGUGGCGGUGGCGGUGGCGGUGGGGAACAGUACGAAGAAGAAGAAGAAGAUGAAGAAGAAGAAGAAGAAGAAGAAGAAGGGGGGGAAGGCCAAGGCCAAGGCCAAGAAAACCUCUGCAGACCAAGGCUUCCGCUCGAUCAAGACGAGGACGAGCUGCAUGAUUCCAGCGUCUUCUUCCAACGCCUCCAAUCCUAA